GAGCUGACUGCCAGUGGGAAAGGAUCUCUUUCUGGAGAUCCCUCCUCUGGGGUUUUGCAGUGAGCCCAGGAUGUGGAAACCAUCUUAGCAUUACUGUGUGCAGUAAAGCAAGCUAUCUUGUUCAACUCAGAGAAGGCUGGAUUUGAUUUGCCCUCGUGAGUCAACAGGACACAAAUUCUCUGAGUCCCCUAACUGAAAGUGGACCAUUCCUUUGCAAGCAACAAGAGACAUGCCUUCAAACUUUGACUUAGCUUUUGUAAGUG